GCCCAGGCAAGAUAAACCUUGCCGACCCCUGUGGUAGAGCAUGAGACUCUUAAUCUCAGGGUUGUGGGUUCAAGCCCUACGUUGGGCA